UACGAAGGGGGGCUAGCGUUGCUCGGAAUCACUGGGCGUAAAGCGCACGUCGGCGGAUCUUUUAAGUCAGGGGGUGAAAUCCUGGAGCUCAACUCCAGAACUGCCUUUGAUACUGGGGGAUCUCGAGUCCGGAAGAGGUGAGUGGAACUCCGAGUGUAGAGGUGAAAAUUCGUAGAUAUUCGGAAAGAACACCAGUGGCGAAGGCGGCUCACUGGUCCGGUACUGACGCUGAGGUGCGAAAACGUGGGGGGACAAACAGG
rnacentral:rRNA from 1 species